rnacentral:rRNA from 1 species
ACGUGGUCCGUGACGAAGUUAACACAUUAAGCACCCCGCCUGGGGAGUACGGUCGCAAGACUAAAACUCAAAGUAAUUGACGGGGGCCCGCACAAGCGGCGGAGCAUGCGGAUUAAUUCGAUGCAACGCGAAGAACCUUACCAAGGCUUGACAUAUAGAGGAAACGUGCAGAAAUGUACGCCCCGCAAGGUCUCUAUACAGGUGGUGCAUGGUUGUCGUCAGCUCGUGUCGUGAGAUGUUGGGUUAAGUCCCGCAACGAGCGCAACCCUCGUCCUAUGUUGCCAGCACGUAAUGGUGGGAACUCAUGGGAGACUGCCGGGGUCAACUCGGAGGAAGGUGGGGAUGACGUCAAAUCAUCAUGCCCCUUAUGUCUUGGGCUUCACGCAUGCUACAAUGGCCAGUACAAAGGGCUGCAAUACCGUAAGGUGGAGCGAAUCCCAAAAAGCUGGUCUCAGUUCGGAUUGAGGUCUGCAACUCGACCUCAUGAAGUCGGAGUCGCUAGUAAUCGCAGAUCAGCAACGCUGCGGUGAAUACGUUCCCGGGCCUUGUACACACCGCCCGUCAAGUCACGAAAGUCGGUAACACCCGAAGC